rnacentral:rRNA from 1 species
GGUGGCGAGUGGCGGACGGGUGAGGAAUACAUCGGAAUCUGCCCAAUCGUGGGGGAUAACCUCGGGAAACCGGGACUAAUACCGCAUACGACCUACGGGUGAAAGCAGGGGACCUUCGGGCCUUGCGCGAUUGGAUGAGCCGAUGUCGGAUUAGCUAGUUGGCGGGGUAAAGGCCCACCAAGGCGACGAUCCGUAGCUGGUCUGAGAGGAUGAUCAGCCACACUGGAACUGAGACACGGUCCAGACUCCUACGGGAGGCAGCAGUGGGGAAUAUUGGACAAUGGGCGCAAGCCUGAUCCAGCCAUGCCGCGUGAGUGAAGAAGGCCCUCGGGUUGUAAAGCUCUUUUGUUGGGAAAGAAAAGCAGCCGGCCAAUACCCGGUUGUUCUGACGGUACCCAAAGAAUAAGCACCGGCUAACUUCGUGCCAGCAGCCGCGGUAAUACGAAGGGUGCAAGCGUUACUCGGAAUUACUGGGCGUAAAGCGUGCGUAGGUGGUUUGUUAAGUCUGAUGUGAAAGCCCUGGGCUCAACCUGGGAAUUGCAUUGGAUACUGGCAGGCUAGAGUGCGGUAGAGGAUGGCGGAAUUCCCGGUGUAGCAGUGAAAUG